rnacentral:rRNA from 1 species
AUUGAACGCUGGCGGCAGGCCUAACACAUGCAAGUCGAGCGGAUGAAGGGAGCUUGCUCCUGGAUUCAGCGGCGGACGGGUGAGUGAUGCCUAGGAAUCUGCCUGGUAGUGGGGGAUAACGUCCGGAAACGGGCGCUAAUACCGCAUACGUCCUGAGGGAGAAAGUGGGGGAUCUUCGCACCUCACGCUAUCAGAUGAGCCUAGGUCGGAUUAGCUAGUUGGUGGGGUAAAGGCCUACCAAGGCGACGAUCCGUAACUGGUCUGAGAGGAUGAUCAGUCACACUGGAACUGAGACACGGUCCAGACUCCUACGGGAGGCAGCAGUGGGGAAUAUUGGACAAUGGGCGAAAGCCUGAUCCAGCCAUGCCGCGUGUGUGAAGAAGGUCUUCGGAUUGUAAAGCACUUUAAGUUGGGAGGAAGGGCAGUAAGUUAAUACCUUGCUGUUUUGACGUUACCAACAGAAUAAGCACCGGCUAACUUCGUG